AUCUGAUCGAUGGCUCCAACACCAGUAAUGUCGUUGAUCGCUCCAAGUUAUGGAAAUAUCUCUUGCCGACAAAACAUAUGAUAUCUUCCCAAGUAUUGAUUCACAGAGACAUCGGUAGAGCUCCUUUUUGGAGGAGAAACUCUUAUGAGUUGAUGUUGAGAUGAGGCGGCUGUAUUCUGAGGGAAGAAACUUCUCCCAGACGAAAUCAGAGUCUCCCGCGACCCGGAAAACAGAGGAGACAGACGCCGAGGAGAAUGUGUCGGCCGGAGUUGUGAAGGAGAGUAUAUUCGCCAAGCAUGCUUCUGGUCCUCAAACCGGCGUUCCCGGCAUCCGUCACUCAACCUUCGAGUCACUCCGUGUUGGUCGUAGUAGUCAGAGCAUAGCCUCUAACCUCCUCGCUUAUGGGAUUCCCUGGACUUUAAGAAAGACAGUGAGUUUAUGGGAAUCACGGUUCUCUUCCUUGAUGAAAAGGUAAGUUAA